UUCCGGUUGAUCCUGCCGGAGGCUACCGCUAUUGGAGUUCGAUUAAGCCAUGCGAGUCGCGAGUCUUAGGGACUCGGCGUACCGCUCAGUAACACGUGGGUAACCUGCCCUAUGCUGGGGGAUAACCUCGGGAAACUGAGAAUAAUACCCCAUAGUUCACCACGCCUGGAACGGUGGGUGGAUCAAAGCUCCGGCGGCAUAGGAUGGGCCUGCGGCGUAUCAGGUUGUAGGGGGUGUAAUGUACCCUCUAGCCCUCUACGCGUACGGGUGUUGAGAGACAUCGCCCGGAGAUGGAUUCUGAGACACGAAUCCAGACCCUACGGGGUGCAGCAGGCGCGAAAACUUGGCAAUGCGAGAAAUCGUGACCAGGGAACUCCAAGUGCAUCGGGUAAGACCGAUGCUUUUCUUGACUCUUCAAAGGUCUUGGAAUAAGGGGUGGGUAAGGACGGUGCCAGCCGCCGCGGUAAUACCGGCGCCCCAAGUGGUAGUCGCUUUUAUUGGGCCUAAAACGUCCGUAGCCGGUCUGGUACAUUCGUGGGUAAAUCAACCAGCUCAACUGGUUGAAUUCUGCGAGCACGGCCAGACUUGGGACCGGGAGAGGUGUGGGGUACUCUCAGGGUAGGGGUAAAAUCCUGUCAUCCUGAGGGGACCACCUGUUGCGAAGGCGCCACACUAGAACGGAUCCGACGGUCAGGGACGAAGCCUAGGGGCACGAACCGGAUUAGAUACCCGGGUAGUCCUAGGUGUAAACGCUGUGGACUUGAUGUUGGGGGCGCUCCGAGCGCACUCAGUGUCGAAGCGAAGGUGAUAAGUCCACUGCCUGGGGAGUACGGUCGCAAGGCUGAAACUUAAAGGAAUUGGCGGGGGAGCACCGCAACCUGAGGAUUGUGCGGUUUAAUUGGAUUCAACGCCGGA
rnacentral:rRNA from 1 species